rfam:Conidiobolus coronatus NRRL 28638 unplaced genomic scaffold CONCOscaffold_4, whole genome shotgun sequence.
GCUCCCAUAGCUCAGUUGGUUAGAGCGUGGUGUCUAAUAACGCCAAGGUCACAGGUUCGAUCCCUGUUGGGAGCA